GACGAACGCUGGCGGCGUGCUUAACACAUGCAAGUCGAACGGUGAAGCGCCUUCCUUUUUGGUGGGUGUGGAUGAGUGGCGAACGGGUGAGUAACACGUGAGUAACCUGCCCCCUCCUGCUGGAUAACCGCAGGAAAGUGUGGCUAACACGGGAUAUUCUGGGUCUGUCGCAUGAUGGGUCUGGGAAAGAUAUUGUUUCGGUGGGGGAUGGGCUCGCGGCCUAUCAGCUUGUUGGUGGGGUGAUGGCCUACCAAGGCGGUGACGAGUAGCCGGCCUGAGAGGGUGGCCGGCCACGCUGGUGCUGAGCCCCGGCCACGCCUCCUGCGGGAGGCAGCAGUGAGGAUUACUGCACGCUGGGCGGACGCAUGAUGCAGCGACGCCGCGUGCGGGAUGGAGGCCUUCGGGUUGUGAACCUCUUUCGCCAGUGAAGCAGGCCUGCCUCGUUUGUGGGUGGGUUGACGGUAGCUGGAUAAGAAGCGCCGGCUAACUACGUG
rnacentral:rRNA from 1 species